CGUGGUUCUCGGGUGACGCACCCUGGAAUUGGGCUCCCUCCUCUCUGGUUCUGGGUGUUGUGUCACCCAAAAACUGCA
rfam:Myotis lucifugus cont2.48297, whole genome shotgun sequence.